AUGUCAAGACUUGCGUGCGUGUGCCGGCUUUAAGUUUUUGGUCAAAUAUUUUCAAAUCGGAAAAUUCUACUUAAAAAUUAUCGUUUUUAUUGCGAAAUUGUUUUUAUAAACAAAGUAAAUGUGCGAGCUAAAGCAAUAACUUCGCAUCGUUCGAAAUAUUAGCAAAUACACGCAGGGAGCUUAUUCGCCCGGCGGAACCAGGCAAAUACUUUGACACAAUAGAAGUACAAGAUCAGUCGACUUUAAUUUGAUUAGUAACCAAUAUAUGGGAUACUGUACUGUACGCAUGUUCGACUCAAAUGUACUGAGUUUAUAAAUUCGUUGCUCAGACAAAUACAGCAUUGGUUCAAGGUCAGUGUUCCAUUAAAUCGUAUAUCUAAGUGCUGGCGAAGUGUUGUCUGAGUAUAUAGACUCUAUACUAACAAAGGGUAGAGACUUUCAUCCUGAAAUUAUUUUAGUUCCGAAACAAUGAUAAACAGAAACACGACCACUAAGUAAUAUUUUGGCGUUGUGCAAGAUAGAUGUUUCGGCACUCCAAAAGAUCCAAAAUAUUUUGAAAUGCGUGCCAACCUGUGUAAAUAUUGGUUUAUUAGUGCAUAUAUAUGUGUGUGUAGAUAAUAGUUGUUUUGGAACGAUUAAAAAUACUUAGUUCAGUGUGAACUAUGAGUCAUUUCUGUGACUCAUUUUAUGUUAUGUGCCUCAACAACAAACACAAGAAAAUCUGAUUGGAAUCUUUUGGUCAGAGAGAAUUACUGAAUAUGUACAGUUAAAACACUUAAAUUGACACCAAUGAGACUAGCAAUUAUGUGUUUAAGAAAACUAUGGGUUCAAAAGAACGUCCGUUGUGUGAAGAAUUAAUAGUGUAAAUAAGAACAGUGUGGAGUUAAGAGAAAUAUCCGUUUAUAAGAGCGUUUUUUAAACAAAGUGAUUACUGCAUAUGUAUAGAAAACAUACUGUAGUAUAUUAUAACAUAUAUGAUAUAUGUAUAUGUUCCAAUAAGUUAUUGGAACCAUUCGACUUUUAGUAACUUAUUCAGUAACAUUCUUGGCUAAAACAAGGGAGUAUGUAUUGUUACUAUGUAGAAGAUAUUAUCGUGUGUAUAAAGUAAAAAUAAAGUAAAUGUGAAGGACUUUGAAAAAGAGAGUAACAAACUUGUGAUGAAAUUGAAGAGUUUUGCUACUUCAGAAAAACCCUUGAAUGCUGCAUUUACAUAGAUUUGGAAUAGUUAAUAAUUCCUUUCGUGACAACUGAAUUUAAUUUAUCUCUGGCAAAUAAAUAAUUUUCCCUCUCUGUUUUAAUGCAGUUUGUAUUCACCUUUAAAUGAUAAAAACUAACUCCGCACUACUCUUGGGAAGGUUAAUUAUCAGGGUAAGCAAACGCAAACCAACUAUAAACACAUAAACAGGCGAUAAUUGUUAUAAUUUAUUAUAUCAGACGUGAAGUUUUUGAU